ACCCUGGUAGUCCACGCUGUAAACGAUGUCGACUUGGAGGUUGUUCCCUUGAGGAGUGGCUUCCGGAGCUAACGCGUUAAGUCGACCGCCUGGGGAGUACGGCCGCAAGGUUAAAACUCAAAUGAAUUGACGGGGGCCCGCACAAGCGGUGGAGCAUGUGGUUUAAUUCGAUGCAACGCGAAGAACCUUACCUACUCUUGACAUCCAGAGAAUUUAGCAGAGAUGCUUUGGUGCCUUCGGGAACUCUGAGACAGGUGCUGCAUGGCUGUCGUCAGCUCGUGUUGUGAAAUGUUGGGUUAAGUCCCGCAACGAGCGCAACCCUUAUCCUUUGUUGCCAGCGGUUCGGCCGGGAACUCAAAGGAGACUGCCAGUGAUAAACUGGAGGAAGGUGGGGAUGACGUCAAGUCAUCAUGGCCCUUACGAGUAGGGCUACACACGUGCUACAAUGGCAUAUACAAAGAGAAGCGACCUCGCGAGAGCAAGCGGACCUCAUAAAGUAUGUCGUAGUCCGGAUCGGAGUCUGCAACUCGACUCCGUGAAGUCGGAAUCGCUAGUAAUCGUGGAUCAGAAUGCCACGGUGAAUACGUUCCCGGGCCUUGUACACACCGCCCGUCACACCAUGGGAGUGGGUUGCAAAAGAAGUAGGUAGCUUAAC
rnacentral:rRNA from 1 species